UAUGACAAUUUAAGUACUUUUUCCACCACUGUACUUGAGUACAUUUAAAACAAGAUAGUUUUAGACUUAUUUUUACUCGGUGACUUUGACUCGAGUCAUUUUCCUUUAAAAAGGCAUCUUUACAUUUACUUCAUUAUGACAAUUGAGUACUUUUUCCACCACUGAUUAAUGCCAAGAUUAAGAUAUUUCUCCAUUUCUAUUUUAGAUUGACGAUUAGAAGAUAUUUUUGUAUCCGAGUGUUUAUUUACCCAUUUACAAACCUUAUUUAUGGUUGUAUAACCACCCACUAGCCUUCCAAUCCUUGCUUCCUCCGUCCUUGCUUCCUCCGUCCUUGCUUCCUCCGUCCUUGGUUUCCUCCAUUCCUCACCUCUCUUUCAAAGCACAUCAGAGGAACAGGCCUGAGUUUAGGAACUUCAAUGCUCUCCCUCAAGGUGCUGUGAUAGGGAGUUGAGGAACUUCAAUGCUCUCCCUCAAGGUGCUGUGAUAGGGAGUUGAGGAACUCAAUGCUCUCCCUCAAGGUGCUGUGAUAGGGAGUUGAGCAACUCAAUCCUCUCCCUCAAGGUGCUGUGAUAGGGAGUUGAGCAACUCAAUCCUCUCCCUCAAGGUGCUGUGAUAGGGAGUUGAGGAAUUCAAUGCUCUCCCUCAAGGUGCUGUGAUAGGGAGUUGAGGAACUCAAUGCUCUCCCUCAAGGUGCUGUGAUAGGGAGUUGAGGAACUCAAUGCUCUCCCUCAAGGUGCUGUGAUAGGGAGUUGAGGAAUUCAAUGCUCUCCCUCAAGGUGCUGUGAUAGGGAGUUGAGGAAUUCAAUGCUCUCCCUCAAGGUGCUGUGAUAGGGAGUUGAGGAACUCAAACCUCUCCCUCAAGGUGCUGUGAUAGGGAGUUGAGGAACUCAAUGCUCUCCCUCAAGGUGCUGUGAUAGGGAGUUGAGGAAUUCAAUGCUCUCCCUCAAGGUGCUGUGAUAGGGAGUUGAGGAACUCAAUGCUCUCCCUCAAGGUGCUGUGAUAGGGAGUUGAGGAACUUCA